GGGUCAUGAUCAAGGGCUGCUAGGUUAACCAAGGGACCAACACAUGGUAGGAUGGUUGGAAAAAUUGAGAUUGUGAGAUCAUGUCUCAUAAAUACGCAUGGUGGUAGUUCUCGAGAGGGUUCAAUGUUUAUUUUAGGUCAGUUUUGCUUCUUCAAGGUUGAGGCUCGAACCAAGGAAUGUAGGUCGACAACUUUAAAAGCAAGGGGGCAAUGUUUGGGCCCAAAAUAUUGGUUUGGGUUAAGUUUAGAAUUGUUCUCGGCCUGGAAGUGUUGCUCAGCGGCCUACCGUAUCCUAUCAGGAUAGGGUAGUUGAAUCCUGAUACAAUAAAGAGUCUCGGCAGGAUGAGGAUGCUGAAACUUGAGAAUGAAUGCGGCCUGAUAAAGGGUUGAGUUCAAAGUCCUAAUAGGAGUAGGACUGGCCAAGAUAAGAUUGGAUCGGGGUAAGGAGUCCUAACCCGAGUGUAGUUUUGAUUCGAUUAGAAGCAAGUUUGCUACUAUAAAUAGAGGGAGGAGUACAUCAUUCAAACCGCCCCCCAAUUCAACACAUAAGUUGCCCUGCACAAACUCUCUCAACAAUCCUGAGAUUUUUAUUUUCUUUUUCUGCCAACACAUCUUCAGUUUGGAUAAGCAGCACUGUGAAGGCAACUAGUGAUACCUUUAGUUUGGAUAAGCAGCACUAUCGCCGUAGAACGAGCUGACCAUGGAACACUUUCAGUUUGGAUAAACAGUACUGCAUCGAGGCCGACUGGUUAUUUAUCCAAGUCUCGGUCGAGAAAGACUUUCGAGUCUUUAUUGGCAUAUGUCAUCUCAUUAGCCUUUUUAGCAAAGUGAGGUGUUAUAGUUUACUAGGGCUCGACACAUUGAAUGCCAAGUUGUUUUAAUAUUGGAUACUCGUAAGUAAGCUUUAGAGUUCGGCAAUAUAACAGUCGAACCGCAUUUACCAUCAAGACAUAUAUCUGUUUUGAGUAUCUGUGCCCCUAUACUCUGGUGUCAAUUUGGUGUGCUUAUACCCUUACAAAUAU
rnacentral:lncRNA from 1 species